rnacentral:misc_RNA from 1 species
GAUGAAGAACGUAGUGAAAUACGAUAAUUAAUGUGAAUUGCAGAAUUCCGUGAAUCAUCGAGUCUUUGAAUGCACAUUGCACCUCAUGGCAUUCCGUGAGGCAUGCCCAUCUCAGCGUUAGAAAAUAUUCUCAAAUUUUAGUUUUGUGCUAAAAUUUGGAUCAUGUCAAAGAAGCUAUUACUAUUAUUGUGAUCGCUCUUUGGAAAUUGAUAGGUCUUUGAGUUGCUACUCAUAGAACGUGAUGAAUCUUUCUUCGUUCUAUUGUAAUUCACUCUGGUAGUCCUAAAACUUGUAUGCCUGUGGCAUAUCUUGUAAUUUGACCUGAGAUUGGGUAGGGAUACCCGCUGAACUUAAGCAUAUCAAUAAGCGGAGGA